rnacentral:lncRNA from 1 species
CCAGCCUGGUCAACAUGGCAAAUUCCAGGACAGCCAGGGCUACAUAGACUGUGUCUCAAAAAAAAUUUUUUCCCCACUGUUUACAGAAUUUCAACAUUUGAAUUUGGAUUGCUGAGAAGUGUGUACCAGCCAGCAUAACCUUUGCCCAACAGGCUAACAACUGGGAAGGGCGCCUACAGUUCAAAAUUUCACCACCAGAGGUCAGCAGACAUAAAAGACACUUGUCCCUGGCAAGAGGGCCUCCUCAGAUGACUAACAUUCACAGUAUGCCUCCAAAACCUCCUAAACUGUAGUAUUAUAAAAUAUAAAGGGAAGCCACAGGGUGUGCAGAAAGCAUGUCCAUAUGAACAGAGGGUCUGUGGCUUGUGUUGCCAUAGAGACAGGCAUGCAGCCUCAGUUCCCUCAGAGUAAGAAACCAGUCAUAGGUUAUCAUGUUCACACCUGUGAGCUUCAAAGCGCUGGUCAAAGGGGCCUGGUUCCUGCUCCUGUCUCUGUACUAGCUGCCUUUCUCAGAAUGAUCUAACUUAGAUCAGAGAUGAAGGUAGCAGCUCAUUGAGACAGGGCCUUUCUCCUGGGGAGCACGCAUGAGAGGAGGCAAUCUCUAUGAGGAAAGGACAGGGCUGGAGACAGCAUCGUCGUAUCCUUCCUUGGCCCUUCCGGAAGUCUGCAGGGCUGUGUUAGUAAGGUGUGGGAUGCUGCGCUUAGUUCCUGCUGUCCUCCUUCGACAGCCUCCAGAUCAGAUAAGUGAGGAUGUGGGCAAUUGAAGAUCAAAUGGCUUCUUUGGUCUGGAAUGUCUCUGGAGACCCUCUCCUCCAGAGUGGGAGCAGGGUAAGGAUGCAGCAGCAAGGCGAACGCCUCAGCCAAAGCCUCGGGUCAUUAUUUCUUUUGAAGACAGAAACAACCCAGAACCCAAGCACGGUGGCUCACUCCUGUAAUCUCAGCAUUUGGAAUUAAGAGGCAGGAAGACUGCUUCAAGUUGGAGGCCAUCUUGGGCUACACUGUCAAUCCCAGGCCAUCCUGGGCCUUGUCUCAAGGUGGCAGUGCAGGGAGCAGGGGGAACAACUGCAGUUGGAGAGAAAGAACCUGAGUUGGAAUCCCAAGCAGACAAAAAAAAAAAAAAAAAAUUGUGUGUGCCUGCACAUACAUAUAACCCAGGCUUAGAGGGUAAGUGUGCCCUGCUGUUUUUAUAGAAGAUCUUGAGUUCAGUUCGAAAACACGUGUAACUGCAGAGCUCCAGAGGAGUCAGCACUUUCUUCUCAGACACUGGCAUGCAUGUGCCUGCCACUUGCACACACAUAUACACAAAUCUCUCUCUGUGUGUGUCUGCCUUUCUCUCCCCAUGUGUGUGUGUGUGUGUGAGUGUGAAGAAAAUCUGAACUGGUGGUGGCACAAGCCUAUAAUCUCAGUUACUUGGCUGAGGUGGGAGGAUUAAAACUCCAAGGUCGGCUGGGAUACAGAAGGAGUUCAAGGCCAGCCUAGGCAACUUAAAAAACAACAAAGCCAGGCACAGUGGCAGAUGCCUUUAAUCCCUGGUCUUGACACAGGCAGUAGGGGUGUGUGUAUACAGGGCAACAGAGACAGAGGUCUGGAGAAGAAGAAAGAGAACAUGCUAGAGUAGAUGAGACUUGAGAAAGAAGAGAGAGAGAGAGAGAGAG